UGGAGCCAACCACCCCCCGUCCCUUUACCUCCGCCCCUCUUCUAGGCCCCGCCCCUUUCCCCGCCCGUCGCUCCCGUCCCAUCCCGGCGGCGCGGUGGGGUCGCGGUGUUUGCGGCCAUGGAUGCGGCGGCCGGUGCUGAGGCGGAGCCGUUGUUGCCCCCGCGGAGCUGGCGAACGGGGCGGGGGCUCUGGCGGGCCGGUGGCGGCGUCCGCUCCGCCGCUGAGGACGGUACUGCAGCUGAUAACGACCUUUAUAUAAACCAAGCCAUAGUAUUUAUUGAAGAUGCAAUACAGUAUCGAUCUAUAAAUCACCGUAUGGACUCCAGGUCCCUGUGGCUUUAUCGAUGGUACUACUCCAGAACUUGCCAGUGGAUUUUGAGUUUAACCAUCACUGUAAUCCUGGCUUUGGCUUUCAUCGAGAAGCCUUCUUCACUGACCGUCACGUCAGACGUGCGAUACCGCCCUCCCGCCUGGAAUCCUCCCUGUGGCCUCACCGAAAGCAUCGAGCUGCUUUGCUUCAUCGUAUUCAUGGUUGACGUGUCGGUGAAGAGUUACUUAGUUGGAUGGGAAGAAUUUUGGAAAAACAAAUGGCUGAUGGCUUAUAUACUGACACUAAUUGUUUCCCUUGCUGAUUGGAUCGUGUCGCUGAGUUUUUUCUGUGCAGAGAAUGUGAGAAUAAGAAGAAUUCUUCGUCCUUUCUUUCUCCUUCAGAAUUCCUCUAUGAUGAAGAAAACAUUAAAAAGCAUCAACAGCACGUUGCCUGAAAUGGCAAGUGUUGUUCUACUACUCGCCGUUCAUCUGUCUCUCUUUACCAUGUUUGCCAUGCUGCUGUUUGCUCGAACAAAGGAUGGCCAGCAGGAUAAGGAGUGGGUGGUGUAUUUCAGGAAUUUGCCGGAUUCACUGACAUCGCUGCUGGUCCUGCUGACUACUGCAAAUAAUCCUGAUGUGAUGAUUCCUGCGUAUUCUAAGAAUCGAGCGUAUUCCAUCUUCUUCAUACUUUUCACUGUGUUAGGCAACUUGUUUCUGAUGAACUUGCUUACAGCAAUAAUAUACAACCAGUUUCGAGGAUACCUUCUGAAAUCGGUUCAAUCCUCCCUCUUCAGGAGGCGACUGGGAAUCCGGGCUGCGUUUGAAGUGCUUUCCUCCCUGAAAGACACUCCUGCUAAUGCACAACAGUCUUACGUCAGUGUUGGGGCCUUACUACGGGUGCUGCAGAAGGUUGAAAUGGAAUCUCGCUGCAAGCAAGCCAUCAUGAGAUCACUCAAAAUAUUCUCCUGUGACCACUUGUCAGCCGCCCAGUUCCAGAAGCUCUUUGAAGAACUAGACAAAGAUGCCAUUAAGCAACAUCCUCCCAGCCCAGAGUACCAAUCCCAUUUUAUGCAGAAAUUGCAGUUUGCCUUUGGCCAUCCCUACUUUGGCUACUUGGGGAAUGUUGUAGCCCUGGCAAACAUUGUUUCUAUAUGUGUGGUUUUGGUGAUGGAUGCAGAUAAGCAGCCGUCUGAAAGAGACGACUUCUUCCUGGGGGCUAUCAACUGCUUCUUCAUUCUAUACUACCUGCUGGAAAUGUUGCUGAAAAUCUUAGCGAUGGGCUUGAACAGAUACUUGUCAUACCCAAGCAAUAGAUUUGAUGGACUUCUGACUGUAAUUUUGCUGGUUUUGGAGAUUGCAACUUUUGCUGUGUACGGAUUUCCUCAUCCUGGUUGGAGACCCGAGUUCAUGGGCUUAUUAUCCCUGUGGGAUAUGGUGCGAUUGGGGAACAUGUUAAUUGUGUUCAGGUUCCUGCGGAUUAUUCCUAAUAUGAAGUUCAUGGCUUUGGUUGUUACUACAUUGCUGGAUCUGGUAAAAAACUUGAGAGCCUUUGCAGGAAUCCUUGUGGUGGUUUUCUACGCAUUUGCUAUAACUGGCAUAAUGCUAUUUCAGGGUGCUGUUGUUCCCUUGGGAAAUACCAGUGCUGUCAAUACAACCUAUGACAACAGCACUCUCAAGUGUGGGACCUAUGAGCAGCUGGAAUAUUGGCCAAACAACUUUGAUGACUUUGCUGCAGCAGUGGUGACCCUCUGGGACGUGAUGGUGGUGAACAACUGGCAAGUCUUUUUGGAAGCCUUUUCAAGAUACUCAAGUCCGUGGGCAAAGAUCUAUUUCGUAGCCUGGUGGUUGAUCUCCUCGGUCAUCUGGGUUAAUCUCUUUGUAGCUUUACUUCUAGAGAACUUUAUUCACAAGUGGGACCGCCGCUGUCAUCGAGAGCCUCUUUCAGAUAUUGAAUACCAGAGGACAGUUGAACUGAUGUUCAGAGAUGUUUUGGAAGAACCUACAGAGGAAGAGUUGAUGGAAAAGCUGCACCAGCAUCCACACCUGCAGUUGUCUGUUUGUCCCCAGAAGAUACCUUAAGUGGAUUGGUGAAGGAAAGCAGCUUGCUGAACCUGCACAGGAGAUAAAAGAUGAUAGAAUGAAGGUGAGGAGAAGAAAUUGAGAAAGGAGGGGAGAAAGGUAAAUAAAUUGGGUAGACAGUCCUGAGUCUGAGCCUUGAAAUGGUCUCAGACUGGAGAUAACUCCUUUUUAUGUUGAAAAGUAUAGGUUGUUUAUACAUAUAUACAUAUAUUUGUAUGUAUGCAUGUAAUUAAUAGCAGACAUGUGUCACAGAGUCCAGCUACAGCUUUGGUUUCUGAGGCCCCAAAAUCCAUUUUUAAAGCUGUGAACAUUUUGUGUCCCUCUUCAGAGACGUUAUUUUCUGGGCAAGGUUUGCUAAUUUGGAAAGAAAUUGAGUGUGUGAGGCUUUGUGGUUUUGGUAUCUCAAAAUCGUUAUAGUCUAACCUUGAAAUUUUGAUUCAUUUUCCUCCUCAUUCAUUGAUGGGGAAAAAGAACAGGUGAGUUGGGAACUUUCUUGCGUUUCAGAAACCAAAGCACACAAAGGCCUAUUCUCUUUGUAUUAAGCAUCUUUACUGAAGUGCUCAGAAAAAAGUGAGGACAUGAAACGUUAGUUUUUUUUAAUGUGUAUUGGAGAUGGAUUUGGAGUUAUUUUUUCAUUUAGCCAGGGAAGUUGAUUAUCACUAAUAAUGCUGCCUAUAGUGUUUCACUGUAAUAUUAUUUAAAGGAAAUGUUUGAGCGUUUUCCCACAUCAGUGAGACAAUGUCCCUUUCCCUGCCAAAGAUCCCAUUCACACAGAUCCUCCUCCUUCCUAUAGCUGGAAGGUGAAAUUUGGCAUUUUUCCUGUAGCCCAGCUGCCAAUUUACCAUCAUUGAUCGUUAUCAGGAGUGGUUUGACUGAGGUGUCUGAUGUACAGCGAAGCGUGUUCUUGGCUCCGUGUGAGAUAUCGGCUGUUCCAGGUCUUGGGGUCCUGCUUGUCCUGGUUUAUGGGAGGUUGGGCUUCAUAACUGGUUGUCGUUUGCUGAGAGACGGCUCCUAUGACAUAAUUAAGUUGUAGCGCAUUGAUUAGUUGCUCUGUGUGUGUGAUGGGAGCUGAAGAGUUUGCUAGCACCCAUGCUGUAAACAGAAUUCCUAAUCCAAUUCCUUGGCAUUCAAUGGAAGUUCAAUUAUUGAAUCCCUACCCAGUGCUCUUUUAACUUAAUAUUCCACUCUGUGUCCCCAAAAUGUGACUGUGUCUGUUAAGAAAGGUAUUAUGACAUUGUGUGAAUUACUUGCGUUUAGUAUAAUCCUCAGACAAUUGAACAGCAAGAAAAAGAAAACAAAGUCUAUUGGAAUCUCCUUCUUCAACAGAAAUCAGAUUUUUGUCAUGUGAAGGUACCUCAUAGUAUUUAGUACCUUAGAGUUUACAAAUAAAUGACAUGGCAAGAACUUAUCACAACAUGAUAACGCACAAGAUACUGUAAAUACUCUGGACAUUGAUUUGAGUUAAUUUCUAAAACCACAAUUUAAUCACUAGUGAGAUUAUUAUUUCUAACCACUCAGCAUCACACCUGGCAUCAAUGCCUUGCUUUGGCAGAGUAGCUGGCAAACUAAAAUAUAAAACUGGAAGGAAUUUUAAAAAUUCAAUUGAUCGUAGUAUUUUAUGAUCCUUCUAUUUUGAUUUAGUGAUGCUUGUUUCAUUUUGAGUUUUUCAGUCCUGCAUUGUUAGGAUUACAUAUGCCAUAGGAGAAUUUGUUUAAAGAUAAUUUUUAUUGGAAGUAAAAUAAAAACUGGAAAUCUUUCUGUUAUUCUAAGGCUUUAUAACAGCUUGUUUGUACAGAGUCUAAGUUUGGAGCCAGAUUUGACUUGUCCUUUAAAGUAAGAAUAGGCUCAGAACACUGUUCGUAAAUACUGCAGGAUUUGUCAGUGCUCAGAAGAGUUUGAAGAUAUUUGAAUUGUUUGCCAGAGGGAGCCUUUACACUCAUGGAGUUCAGGCUAAAAUAUAUAUAUGUCUGUAUUGUACUUUACUAAAUAUCGUUUAGCAUUAGGUGUGUGACAGCUAUCCUUAUUGUUGAUACUUUUUUAACAUUUUCAUAAUCUAUUAAUCAUUUGUUAUCACUUUAUAAACCAUUUGUGAAUGUACCCUGAAUUAAAAAAAAGUGUGACCAUUCAUUUUUUCCCUCAAGUUUAAUAUUAAAGGCAAGUCCAAGGCCAAGAUGGGCACAGGGAGGAUUUAGGGAGCUGGUGUAGUUUAUAUUUUGGCCAGUCAGCUGAGUUACCACGUGGAAGUCAACUUAGUGCAGAAAGUUCACACAGUGUAACACGCUGUGGGCAGUAUUAGCGUUGAUUUACCCAAUCUGUUAAUGGUGUGGUCUGUCUAGACCUUUGGAACAUUCCUUAGCUCCUUAUUUAAUGGAGGAGGAAUCACUUCUGAAAUUAGCAUAUAAAUUGUCUGGAGUCAGCAGCCCUUUAAAACAGUGUUCUACCUUUGUGUCAUGGCACAAGAACUCUGGGGAAAACAGUAAUAAAAUAAAAGCCCUUGUCAGGCAUGUUCUCGUGAAGAAGCUCUCGGCUUUAGAUUGCAUGCCGAAAAAGUGCAUAAACCUAAGUUUAAAAUGAGGAAAUGGUCAUGAUUUGAUUUGGGUAAGUUGUAUUUAUUUAGUCCUGUUGAUAAGGGGAAGUGUAUUAUGAUACGGAAACAUCUGGCAAGGUCUAUUCGUGUAGGAGGUUUACGUAUAUGUAAUUGAAACUGGAGGCUUUUCUGACUUUGACAUUUAUAUUUUUUUGCUUUUGUUGGUCUUCCAUAUAACUUUAUAUAAGCUGUGCUGUGUGGUGCAUUGAUUCCAGGGCUCGGUACAGCUGAGGCUGCUCCUGGUGCCAUUUCUGCAGAAAGAAGGACCUAUUGGAGACAAAUCCUCCUGCCCGGCUCUUGUUCUUCUCUUGGCUCUCCUGAGGUCCCGUACAUACUUGUUCCCACUUUCGCUGCCAAGAGCAACAUAUCCUUACGUUAUCACUUUCAAGGGAAGAUAAUAUAACACGCGUGCAGCUCCUGAAUUUGUGCAGGAAUUGGGAACUUGCUUUUCAGAGCGUAUGUGUGUGCAGAGACGGAAAAGAAACGACGAUGUGACGUGGUGGGUUUAUUUGGCGUGAACCUGGGAUGACCACACUGAGCAGUGAAGCCAAUCAAAUCUUUGUCCUCCAAAAUCAUGUGGUCUGAACGUGCUGUGUACUCCGCAGAAAAACUAUGCCAGGAAUGUUGCUAGAGAGCUUUAAAUGUUUAUUUGGUGCUUAUUUUUCCUCUCCCUUGCUCCAAGUGUUUUAAUCACAAUGAAACCAGUUGCCCAGGUAAUAAAUGGGAAAUAAUGUAAUUACAGAAAGCACUAGAAAAAUACCUAAAAUAACAUUUUUAUGUGUGACUGAAUGACAAUUUAAAGUUGAGAUAUUUCCUUACUUCCCAAGGGUUAUAUACUGUAUUUGUUACUGAAAAUGGCAUACUGAAAAUAUUGUUCCCUUCCAAAAAUGGUUUGUGGCCAGAAAAGCCUUCAAGAUGCUGGAUCUUCAGUUUGUGAUGGUCCCAGUGUCCAUUCCGUGUGCCACACCGGUGUUCUGAGGAAAGGUAUUUCAGGGCUGUGAGAGAGAGGAUAGUGAAGAACUGUUCAAGAAGGAAAAACACCCCAACAAGCCAAACCCCAAGCCAGCUCCCUCAAAACAAGCGACUUUUCUGAUGGCAGAGUAGGGCAUGAGGAGAGUAAUGUCAUAAAUGCUUUAUCCCAGCUUCUGUUCAAGUAACUUCAAGAUUAUUUUAUAUGUGGGCAGUCCCAGUGACCGUCUGAUUGCGAUGCUGUAUUUAACCUUGUUUUAGUAUGGCGAUCUCAAACUCGUAAUUUUAGUUGUUUUUUUUUCUUUUAAAUUUGUUCUUUUUUAAAUUUAUCUUUUAAAUUUUUUUCUUUCAUCUACAUUUUUAUAUUUUAUUUUUUUAUUUUUAUAUUUUAUUUUUUAUUUUUAUAUUUUAUUUUUUAUUUUAUUUUUAUAUUUUAUUUUUUUAUUUUAUUUUUAUACUUUUUAAUAUUUUUAUCUUUUAUUUUUCAUAUGAAUAUUUUUAUCUUUUUUUUUUAUAUGAAUAUUUUUAAUUUUGUUUAAAAAAAAAAAACAGAUGUCUAAACAUGGGAAUACCAAUGGGUGCAAAAUUACGUGCAGCGAGCAGGGUUUGUGUCUGUACCGCUGCUCUGCCUGGCACAGGGAGGCCUCGGCUGGUGUUCGUGGGCCGUAACUGUGAUGCUAAAACAAAAACCAAUGUGACAGGUGAAGGGUACGGCUUGAAGUAGAACACAGGAGUCCUGGCUUCUACGUGCCCGUUCCAGUUGGGGUGAAAUGGGUACACGGAGGCGAGCGAUAGCGGGUAUUUUGUGAGCUUAGCAACCAAAGACUUGAGUUUAUUUCACAGGCUUUAGAGAGCGGCUGAUCCAAAGAUAACCGCCCUCAAAAGUGUUGGAAUGCCCGGGAUGAAUCAGUGCAGGCCACUGUUCCUGCUGAUGUGGGGUGGGCUGGAGCGAUUUGGGACAGGCACAGAUUUGGGGAGGUGCUGGUGCAAAGUCUCACACGCUUCUCUGCACCCCCCCCUGCCCAGGCCUCACUGCUCAGUUUGGAGAGGUAGUUUUGAAUUUGACAAAUACCUCUGCAAGACUAAAUUGGGUCAUUUUUACACUAAGUCAGACCCAAUCCUGUGACAAGAAAACCUGCUGCAUUCACUACAAUGUUGCAUGGCACAGAGUUAUGCUCUGACAUUCUGCAUGUCACAAGCCCUAUAUUUAUUUUAUUUUAUUUUAAUUUUUAUUUUUUUAUUAGUCCCCAGUGGAAAAGGGGCUUUGAAUUUUCUUAUCUUGUGCUCCUCUGAUAUUUUUGUGCCUUGUGGUGAAUGAAGUAUGCUUGUUUUUAUGUUUUUCUUUUAAAAUCCCCCUGUUUCAGUGGCACUUCAAAUGUUUGAAGGGUUUCCCCCCCUCCCUUCUUACUCAAUUUAAUUGGAAUUAUGGUGCCUAUCAAAAAGUAUUACUGCAAGGUGACCUGGAAAUAAUCAUUUCCUUUCAUCUAUACCAAACAUUUGUAGAUCGUUAAAAUGUCACGAAUUAAAAGGUCUCAUUCACAAAGAAAUGGCUUUAUAGGAGCACAGUAAAAUACGAGAUUUCAUUAUAUAUAUAUGUAUAUAUAAAAAAAGGGCCAUGUUGUUGUAUUCCUGGCUCACAGAGCAAACCUCCACCACAUGUGGAAUGCAUGGCAGGAUGUAGGACCCUCUGAGGGCUGGAUAUGUGAAGGGGAAGAGGACGUGGGGGGAAAUAAAAAAUAAGAAUAAUUAAAAAAGCACUUAUGAUUCUGAGGAAAUGACCGUUUCCAUUGACAAACGGAGCAUGUGCUCGGGGUCUCCGGGCGGAUUUGUGCGGGGAUCUUGCUCCCCAUGUGCGCGCAUUCCUGCGGAUGAGACAGGUGUCGGAGCGCGGCGGUGCCCGAGGACGCAGCACCCUCCCGCGCUAUCGGCGGCUGGACCGCAUGAUGGAUCCCAAAGCGGCCAAGCACAACUGCUGGGGGCUUUGCCAAGAGGCUGGAGAUGCCAAAUGCUGCGAGAGAGGGACCCGUGCCAGCUUGGCACCUUGAGGCCGUGCGGCUGCUGCUGGCGUGGAGUUGUCAUUGUAACGUGCUGGGGGGAACGGGACCAGAAACUCUCUUAAAUAGUUCCCGGUGAAUGAAGGUCUCUGAUUGUUGUGAAUAUAAAAUAUUCGUGUGGCUUUGGCGUCUCUCCAGACUCGCGGUGGUGAAAUCGGAGGAUUGCCUCCUGGCAGCUGAAUUUAUUUGUGCCCCAGCCCCCAGCAUCACACUGGAAAUAAGAGGGGGAACUAUUUGAAAACAAUUGAGGGCUGGGGAAAGAGGGUCAUUGGCUUCUGGGAUUUGGAUCAGUCCCUGAGCUGAGUGGAUUUAACCGAUGCUGUAAUCUUUUGGCACCUGUUGCAGUUUUUGGCAGUGGCACAGGACAGCUUGGAUUGCACUGUGACUGGAGCAGCGAGCAUAUGUCUGAUACCCAUCCCAGAAAGGGUGACUUAGUGCCCUUAACGCCCUUCCUAUUGUUUUUCUCCCACUUUCCCUCCUCUUAUUCAUCAAGCUGCUCUUAGUAGUUAUCAUUAUGUGCAAACAAGCAUCUAUCAGCAUCUUCAAAUCAAACACAUCAAGGAUGAAGCAAGAGGAGAACAGGGAUUAGGAGAGAUCUGUAUUAUCAGAUUCCAGUUGCUUUUUCUUUUGGUUUUGAAUUGUUUGCCUGGCACUGGAUUUUUAAGAAGUGAGGUAAACAAAGCACUCCAGGCAAAGUGAUACGUGUGCUAUAAUGCCUGAAAUGUAAUCAGAAGAGGAAUAUUUCGGUUUAUAAAUAUGCUAAUGAAAAUAACCAAGUAUGUAUCUUCAAGAAGGGAGUUCAGUGGACCCAUGAAAGGAAGUCUCUGCCUACAUGUCUCUGCACUGAUUGCACAUCUGCCCGUAGCCAGGAGUACAAGUCCCAUUUCCACCAGAGUUCCCUGCUCCUGCAGAAGAUGUUGAAGAUGAAAACAGGGCUGUGCAUCACCUGCAGCUCUGUGGUUUUUGCCCUUCGUUUGGACAUCACUGAAAUACAGAGAAGCCAAGAUGAUACUUGCACUUCCCUCGAAGGACAAUUUUGCUGCACAUGCCUAGAUUUUACUCCUUUUUUUUACUUUUACAAAAAUGCUUCAAAACCCAUAAUUCUGUCUUCUAUGGGCUGCACAGGUGUCUGUACAAGUUGGAGAUUUAUGAAGUGUGACUCAUUUUUCCUUCUCCACACUGUUCCAGUGGAAGCUCAGACUGCGAUGAGAAAAACUCAUCCGCGUUAUUAAGAAUUCUGAUAAAGGAAUUCCUAUAAAUGAAAGGGAAAUAAGCUGUUUACUGCUGGGCAUAUGGAGGUGAUAACUCAUCAAGUCAUCUUAAAAAUGCAGAUCUCUUCAGGUACCCUGACUUCUGAGUGCGUUGCAAAUACACACCGACAGGUUGAACCGGAGCUGGUGGCCACGGCGUAGGAUGUGCUGGAUGAUGUGACGGUCCCAUCAGCUGCUCUUGACGUUGUAAAAUCCUAUUGGAAGUUUUCAGCAACCCUGAUAGAGGAUGGACAGCAGGAUUGCACCAGGGUAA